rnacentral:SRP_RNA from 1 species
CAUUGGUACGCCUGCUGUAUUAGCUUUGUGAACUCGGUCAGGUCUGGAAGGAAGCAGCCGUAGCAGGGAUUUAUAUCUUGCCAGGAUUGUUGCUAAUGAGA